UACGUAGGGUGCGAGCGUUGUCCGGAAUUAUUGGGCGUAAAGAGCUUGUAGGCGGUUUGUCGCGUCUGCUGUGAAAUUUCGGGGCUCAACCCCGAACUUGCAGUGGGUACGGGCAGACUAGAGUGUGGUAGGGGAGACUGGAAUUCCUGGUGUAGCGGUGAAAUGCGCAGAUAUCAGGAGGAGCACCGAUGGCGAAGGCAGGUCUCUGGGCCAUAACUGACGCUGAGAAGCGAAAGCAUGGGGAGCGAACAGG
rnacentral:rRNA from 1 species